UCACCGGUCCUCUCCACUCACCCGCCACCUCUCGCCCUCUCCCCUCCCCUGCCGCAUCGCCGCGCGAGUCGCCGAGCCCGCAAACGCGGGACUCCGCCCGCCGACCACCGCAUCAGUCCCAUGCCGCGGCCGGUCUUAUGGCUCAUUCACCUCUCUUCUCCACUCACUCCAACAUCUCGGUCAUCUCCCCUCCCCCGCCGCAUCGCCGCGCGCGUCGACUGUGCGACUCUGCCCACCAACCACCGCAGCGGCGUGGCUAGGGGCUCCGACGAGCUGUGUGCGGCGCGACCAACGGGGACGGACGCAGUGAGCUUACUGACAUAGGCGCGGGUGCUCGGUCCGGUCCCAUUCCGCUCGCAUCCGCAGCGGUGUUUGUCUCCGGCGAGGUGGCAGGUGGAUCCAAAGCGCGGCGGCUCGAUCUGCAUCGCCAGCAGCUCCGGUACGCCGCUCCCCCUUCUUGACCCACCCCCUCUCCUCCUCUUCUAAUUUAACUUGAUCCGCCCCUCUCCUCCUCUUUUUCUCCCUUUAAUUUCCUGCCUGAUCUGGUUUCCUCUUCCCUGAUGAGCUGCAGCGCCAUGAACCGGCCUCACAGCCACGGCCAGGAGCGACGAUUGCUCCCCAACUCUGCGGCAUGGUGUGCGCUGACCGUUCGUCCCCAAGUCCCCAACGCUGCCACCGGCCGGAGACACGACGGUUCUCUCGUCCGGCUCAAAGCACGCGCCGUUGUGGCCCGCCUCCCGCUGCAGCAGCUGGCAAAGAAAGCGGAACGCCCCUGCGCCGGCGACAUCGGCAUCUCCAUCGACCGUCUCAGCAACUGCUACCUUGACAGGUGAUGGUAAGCCUGAGCUAGCUGGGUUAUCUGAUUCAACAUGCAUGGUCAAUAUUUAUUUAAAUGGUUGACCCAUGAAUAUGUACAUACAAUCAGACGUACAUACCAUGCAUGUUAAGAUGAAACAUAAAACAAUCUUACUUGAUAUACUAGGGGGACGCAGAUCAAUUUUCCUCUGAUGAUCAUCUCGUGUGGGUUCGUUUAUCUGCCCCAGCUUGUGUUCUGAUCCGGUAUUGUUGCAUUGUACCACCAGUUCCUUUCAUGUAUUUUUCUUAGUCUGAUAAGACGUAUGCAUCCCGUCGCUUAAAGCAUCACAACCUAAAAUUAACAGAUCAACAAACGUGCCAUACGCUAUACACCAACAUGAACACCCGUAUGCAUAAAUUAUGUCAUAUGAAAAUGCGGAUUGGUCUGUACCAUAUGAAUCUUCCGGUACAUAAUCCAGUGUUACAUUACUCGGAGCCGACAAGGGAGCAUCAUGAUGGUCUCCUGCCCGUAGCAAUCUUGAUCCAUCUGUAAAGUUGUAACCAAUAGGAAUACAACACCAAUGAAAAACCGUUGAGCAAGUAUGGAGGUAACAUUCUCAGCAUGAUUCACACAGCCUUAUACUUGGAUGCGUUGUGUAACUGUCGUCAACAUUUUCAGCUACGGGUGUGAUGCUUGCAUAACAUUCUUCAACAUUUGUCGCACCGUCAGUAAUGGACAACUCGCAUGCGCCGAAAUUUCAGAUAGUGUGAAUUAUACAUGUAGGUAAGUCCUCGUCUGGUUGAUGUUCGCUUGCCUUGCUUUUUGAAUUCCCCAUAAGCACAUAUGUAACGGCAGCUCCCUGUGAAGAAGAUAACAUUGCUUGAUGUGAAUGGUUAUCAUAUAUUAAUUGCCUUACUUCAAGUUUUACCUUGUGCAAAAAGAUUUAGCAGCAUGUUCUUUAUAGUUCUUUGUUUUUCAUUUAUACAAAUCACCUCAGGUUAUGUUUAUUCAGGUUAUCUUUGCAAAUCACUUAGAUCACAUUGAUACAACAUCUAGGAAAUCAAUAUUGCAAACUUUGCACAUUAAGGAGUAAUCUAUAGUCAGGUUACUAUAACAAAUACUUCACAUACUAUAUGUUUUCCAAUAAAUCUGCUUGAGCUAAUUUGCUGUUUGGUUUUGUAUAUUGUGCUUGAAAUGCUUGCUUGCAGUUUUGAUCUGGCACUGAUCUUAUUAUCAGGGCCUUCAUGAUUUCCUUCUUGGAAUUGCUUGCUUCUAAUUUCUUUGAAAGAUACCAUGAUGCAAUUUUGUUUUUCUAUCUUGUGUAUUCUGCUGCUGAUUCCUGCUGAUUCUUUCUUGCAGUAUGGGUUAUUGUGUGACCGGUUACAGUGUGAUAACAAAUUUUGUAUUUGUGAUUUGUCCCCUCCCCAAGGAAGCUUCUAUAUAAAAGAUCUCAAAAUGCAGGAGCCUAAGAAAAUGCUACAUAAAAGAUGUCAACUUCUAUAUCAGCUAUCUAAAAGAUAUCACCUGUGCCUGAAAUUAUUAUCAGCUUCUUCAUCAAGUAUCAAUUAAUUGCAGCUGGGCUUAACCAUUGUUUUUUAUUUUCUUUGUCGACAGAGAGGCAAGUUCGAGAUUCAAUUGGAUGGACCUUCAUGUUGUUUAUUGAGUUUCUCAUCAGCCAUGGUCUUUCUUAAGUGAUUAUAAUGUCGAAGUAGUACAUUGCAAACAUGUGUAUAAACUGUAUAAUAACAAAACGCGAACCUGGACGCGUUUGGUUGCUGAUCCUGGAAGCGGUCGGCAGCGGGUCCUGUAGGCGGUACACGGCGGAACCUUGAAGUGAUCGGCGGCUGAAUGUGCUAGCGGUUCGCGUUUGAUUAGCACACCCGCCCUACGCGCGCCAUGUUCCACCUAACUAUUUUUUGAGGGGUUACCCUAUUU
rnacentral:lncRNA from 1 species